rnacentral:rRNA from 1 species
UACGGAGGAUUCGAGCGUUAUCCGGAUUUAUUGGGUUUAAAGGGUGCGUAGGCUGUCGGAUAAGUUAGAGGUCAAAUGUCGGGGCUUAACCCCGUGCCUGCCUCUGAUACUGUUCGACUGGAGAGCGGAUGCAGCAGGCGGAAUGAGUAGUGUAGCGGUGAAAUGCUUAGAGAUCAUACAGAACACCGAUUGCGAAGGCAGCUUACCAAGCUACUUCUGACGUUGAGGCACGAAAGCGUGGGGAGCAAACAGG